UCGAGAAUCUUUCACAAUGGGCGCAAGCCUGAUGACGCAACGCCGCGUGGGGGAUGAAGGUCUUCGGAUCGUAAACCCCUGUCGAAUGGGACGAAAGACUCGCGAGUGAAUACUUCGCGAGAGUGACGGUACCGUUAAAGGAAGCCACGGCUAACUCUGUGCCAGCAGCCGCGGUAAUACAGAGGUGGCAAGCGUUGUUCGGAAUUACUGGGCGUAAAGGGCGCGUAGGCGGCCUACUAAGUCAGACGUGAAAUCCCCCGGCUUAACCUGGGAACUGCGUCUGAUACUGGAAGGCUUGAGUAUGGGANAGGGAUGUAGAAUUCCAGGUGUAGCGGUGAAAUGCGUAGAUAUCUGGAGGAAUACCGGUGGCGAAGGCGGCAUCCUGGACCAUUACUGACGCUGAGGCGCGAAAGCUAGGGGAGCAAACGGGAUUAGAUACCCCUGUAGUCCCUGAGCGGGCUGGCAAGGCGCAU
rnacentral:rRNA from 1 species